UACGUAGGGAGCGAGCGUUGUCCGGAUUUACUGGGUGUAAAGGGUGCGUAGGCGGCUAUGCAAGUCAGUAGUGAAAUCCAUGGGCUUAACCCAUGAACUGCUAUUGAAACUGCACAGCUUGAGUGAAGUAGAGGUAGGCGGAACUCCCGGUGUAGCGGUGAAAUGCGUAGAGAUCGGGAGGAACACCAGUGGCGAAGGCGGCCUACUGGGCUUUAACUGACGCUGAAGCACGAAAGCGUGGGUAGCAAACAGG
rnacentral:rRNA from 1 species